UACGAAGGGGGCUAGCGUUGUUCGGAAUUACUGGGCGUAAAGCGCACGUAGGCGGAUAUUUAAGUCAGGGGUGAAAUCCCAGAGCUCAACUCUGGAACUGCCUUUGAUACUGGGUAUCUUGAGUAUGGAAGAGGUAAGUGGAAUUCCGAGUGUAGUGGUGAAAUGCGUAGAUAUCAGGAGGAACACCGGUGGCGAAGGCGGAUCUCUGGGCCUGUUCUGACGCUGAGGCGCGAAAGCUAGGGGAGCGAACAGG
rnacentral:rRNA from 1 species